rnacentral:lncRNA from 1 species
AUUUAUUCUCUUCUUGUUUUUGUUCAUGAGAUUUCAUUUAUUCUUGAAUUGCAGACUGUCUAUGGAUGGCCCUGAUCUAGUCAUGUUUCAUAAGAGAUUGACGAAUAACACGACACAGUGUGAUGAUUGAUUUGUUCGUGAGAUGAAAUGCUUGUUAUGGAUGCAAAAUACCAGUCAUCUUAGAUAAAUAUUUUAUUUGUUGCAAUUAGUUUUAUCUUGGUCUUGAUGAGGCAAUUUCGACUUUCAAAUAUGUUUAGAUGAAUAGGAAGUUCAAAUGAGUAGCAUUGCUACGGAAACUGCACUUUUGCACUCAUUGCUAUUAGAUCAUUUUAAUUUAGAACCCUUUGAGUGAGAUUUCGAGGAGAGUUAAGUAAAUUUGAGGUCUGAUUUGUAUAUGACAUGAGAUUUAUUCAUUGCUAAGAACCGUUUCAAAGUUUAUGUGCAAAGUCCGGGCCAAUUAAGUCGUGCAAAUCCAAUCUGGUUUCACAUUCGAGUAGAAAACGCUGAAAUUUUGUCAACGACGGUCAAUAACAUCCCAAUGUAAGGCAAUUAAUUACUAGAGCAAUAGAACAACAAACCAAGAGCUUGUUUGAGAAGUGUUUAUAAAUAUAUAGAAAUGAACGAGUACUUUUGAAUUUCACGAAAUGUGGAUACAAAUUAAUUUGAUCCUUUUUAAUUGUUUACCAAACAUAUGCCAAG